rnacentral:rRNA from 1 species
UCAGACGAUGCGUCAUGCAUAUCAAUAAGCGGAGGAAAAGAAACUAACAAGGAUUCCCCUAGUAACGGCUGAGUGAAGCGGGAAGAGCUCAAAUUUGAAAUCUUAAAGGGUUUCCCUUUACGAAUUGUAGUUUAAAGAAGUGUUUUCUGUUGAGGUUUUGGUAAAAGUUCUUUGGAAUAGGACAUCAUAGAGGGUGAGAAUCCCGUAUUUGACCUUUACUUUCAACUUUGUGAUACACUUUCAAAGAGUCGGAUUGUUUGGGAAUGCAGUCCAAAAUGGGUGGUAAAUUUCAUCUAAAGCUAAAUAUUGGCGAGAGACCGAUAGCGAACAAGUACCGUGAGGGAAAGAUGAAAAGAACUUUGAAAAGAGAGUUAAACAGUACGUGAAAUUGUCAAAAGGGAAGCGUUUGACACCAGUGUUGUUUUUCUGAAAAUCAAUUAAAGAACUGUUUAUGCUAAGUUGUUUAGACUUUAUCAGCUAACUGUUUAGUUUUGAGCUUUUCUUUAAUGCACUUUUCAGUUAACAAGUCAACAUCAAUUUCUUUUGCUGUAAAAAAGCUUGAGGAAGGUGGCUUGAGAUUCGUCUUAAGUGUUUAUAGCCUCUUGCCUAUGCAGUCGGAGAGAUUGAGGUCUGCAGCGUAGAUCCUUCGGGGCUAAAUGCAUUUGUGCUAAGUUAUAGCAUUUUAUAGACAACUUGUUGACUAUGAUUUGUCUUGUAGCUUACUCGCUUAUGUUAUUUUACCUACGCUUAGGAUGUUGAGCGCAUGUCUCUCUCU